GAUGAACGCUGGCGGCGUGCCUAAUACAUGCAAGUCGAGCGCAUAGGCGAGGAGCUUGCCCCCCUUCAAUUAGCUGCGGACGGGUGAGUAACGCGUGGGAAAACUUCCUUUAAGGCUGGGAUAAACUUUGGAAACCAGUUCUAAUACCGGAUAAUAACUUUAACCCCAAGGUUCAAAAGUGAAAGAGGGCUUUGCAGUCACCUAUAGAUGGAUCCGCGCUUCAUUAGUUAGUUGGUAAGGUAACGGCCUACCAAGACAAGGAUGAUUAGCCGACUUGAGAGGGUGAUCGGCCACAUUGGAACUGAGACACGGCCCAGACUCCUAGGGGAGGAAGCAGUAGGGAAUCUUCCGCAAUGGGCGAAAGCCUGACGGAGCAACGCCGCGUGAGUGAUGAAGGUUUUCGGGUCGUAAACCACUGUUGUAGGGGAAGAACAGGUGGAAAAGGAAAUGAUCAUAGUUUGACGGUACCUAACCAGAAAGGGACGGCUAACUACGUG
rnacentral:rRNA from 1 species